AAAACAGGUCCGUUAUGCCCUAAGAUAAUCUGGGUUGCACGCGCAAUACAAUAAUAUUUGAUAUUAUAAGGGAUAAUAUAAUGUAAGAUAUAUUUGAACAUGGAAUUGCUAGUAAAUUUUACUUAAUAGGUAGAAUUGAAUGAGUCCCUGUUCUUUGUACACACCGCCCGUCGCUAUCUAAGGUGGUAUUAUCUAUGAACAAAUUUAUAAAGUGAAUAGAUAGUACUAGAUCUGAUAUAAGUCGUAACAUGGUUGCUGUUGGAGAACCAUUAGCAGGAUCAUAA
rnacentral:rRNA from 1 species